rnacentral:lncRNA from 1 species
UUUUUUUUUUUUUUUUUUGUCACAAGAUACUUUCUCGUAUAAACGAUUUGUAUCAGAAUACAAAAGCCGCUCCCAGGAGUUCCUUUCGUUCAAGAAAGUUUACCAUCUAACCCUCGGACAUGAAGAGAUGACCGGGGACGCUUAGACAAUAAAGCUUUAAUGUUCGAUAAGAAAACACCCACAAGGUCCUGCUCCGCUUUUCGUCCUUUACUUCUGUCGAGU